rnacentral:rRNA from 1 species
UACGGAGGGUGCGAGCGUUGUCCGGAAUCACUGGGCGUAAAGGGCGCGUAGGCGGCCUGAUAAGUAGGGGGUGAAAUCCUGCGGCUUAACCGCAGGGCUGCCUUCUAAACUGUCAGGCUGGAGCACAGUAGAGGCAGGUGGAAUUCCCGGUGUAGCGGUGGAAUGCGUAGAGAUCGGGAAGAACAUCAGUGGCGAAGGCGGCCUGCUGGGCUGUUGCUGACGGCUGAGGCGCGACAGCGGUGGGGAGCAAACAGG